rnacentral:antisense_RNA from 1 species
GGCGUUUGCAGAAUAAGCGCGCUGCGUUCAGGGAUCUCACCACUGAUAUGAUAGGGAAGACCACAAUUAGCAAAAGAGACAAAUUCACCACGCUCAAACAUGAUGAUCUCAGCCUCCUCAUUCAAGCGCCUUGCACGAGCCGCUGCCGAUGCACCACCAGCUACACCAC